AUAAAUGUGCUAGGAGAAGUGCUCAGUGCUUGAAUGGUUUCAUGGUGUAGUGGCAUUGUUGGAACUGAGACUGAAGGUCCUGAGUUCAAAUCCUGCUAGCUCUUUUUAUUAUCAUAGUGAUAGGAAAUUUUUUUUAAAUAAAUGCGCUAGGAGAACAGUUUAGAUUUUCAAUGGUCUCAUGGUGAAGUGUUGUUGCUGGUGGUAAUGAGGUGAUUCAAGGUUCUGAGUUCAAAUCCUGCUAAUUCUCACUAUGUUUUGUUAUCAGAAUGAUGGAAAGAAAUUAAAAAAUAAAUGCACGGAGAGAGCUUUUCAAAUUGUGAAUGGUCUCAUGGUGUAGUGGGGAUGCUGGUGGUACUAAAACUGAAGGUCCUGAGUUUGAAUCCUGAUAAUUCUUUUGUUAUCAGAAUGAUGGGGGAAAAUUUUUGAAAAAAUAAAUAUGCUAGUAGAAAAUGUCCGAAAGGGAUCAGUCUUAUGGUGUAGUAGUGAUGUUGGUGGUACUGUGAAGGCUAGUCAAGGUUCUGAGUUCAAAUCCUGCUAAUUCUCACUAUGUUUUGUUAUCAGAAUGAUGGAAAGAAAUUAAAAAAUAAAUGCACGGAGAGAGCUUUUCAAAUUGUGAAUGGUCUCAUGGUGUAGUGGGGAUGCUGGUGGUACUAAAACUGAAGGUCCUGAGUUCAAAUCCUGAUAAAUCUUUUAUCAGAAUGAUGUGGGGAAAAUUUUGAAAAAAUAAAUAUGCUAGUAGAAAAUGUCCAGAAGGGAUCAGUCUUAUGGUGUAGUGGUGAUGUUGGUGGUACUGUGAAGGCUAGUCAAGGUUCUGAGUUCAAAUCCUGCUAAUUCUCACCAUGUUUUGUUAUCAGAAUGAUGGAAAGAAAUGAAAAAAUAAAUGCGCUAGUACAAAAAGGGCCAAAAGGGGUUGGUUUUAUUGUGUAGUGGUGAUGCUGGUGGUUCUAAAACUGAAGGUCCUGAGUUCAAAUCCUGCUUACUCUUUUGUUAUCAAAAUGAUGGGGGAAAAAAUAGAAAAAAUAAAUAUGUUAGUAGAAAAGGUCCAAAAGGGAUUAGUCUUGUGGUGUAGUGGUGAUGUUGGUGGUACUGUGAAGGCUAGUCAAGGUUCUGAGUUCAAAUCCUGCUAAUUCUCACUAUGUUUUGUUAUCAGAAUGAUGGAAAGAAAUUAAAAAAUAAAUGCACAGAGAGAGCUUUUCAAAUAGUCUCAUGGUGUAGUGGUGAUACUGGUGGUAAUGAGGUGAUUCAAGGUUCUGAGUUCAAAUCCUGCUAAUUCUUACUAUGUUUUGUUAUCAGAAUGAUGGAAAGAAAUGAAAAAAUAAAUGCACGGAGAGAGCUUUUCAAUUUGUGAAUGGUCUUAUGGUGUAGUGGUGAUGUUGGUGGUACCAAAACUGAAGGUUCUGAGUUCAAAUCCUGCUUGUUCUUUUGUUAUCAAAAUGAUGGGGGAAAAAAUUUGAAAAAAUAAAUGCGCUAGUAGAAAAAGUCUGCAUGGAUUGGUCUCAUGGUGUAGUGGUGAUGUUGGUGGUACUAAAACUGAAGGUUCUGAGUUCAAAUCCUGCUUGUUCUUUUGUUAUCAAAAUGAUGGGGGAAAAGAUUUGAAAAAAUAAAUGCGCUAGUAGAAAAAGUCUGCAUGGAUUGGUCUCAUGGUGUAGUGGUGAUGUUGGUGGUACUAAAACUGAAGGUUCUGAGUUCAAAUCCUGCUUGUUCUUUUGUUAUCAAAAUGAUGGGGGAAAA